AAACGAGCACGAGCAGAGGCAGGGAGGGGCUUAAUUCGGGGCUCCGGCGGCGGGCCUCGCCGGCCGUGUGCUCCGGCUGCGACCUCGGGAGAUCAGUGUCUCCACGGUGCUCCGACGUCCAGCGGACAGACCACUCCAUCCCCGCCCCCUCCCCACACCGGGCGCCAGAUCCGGCAUCCGCCGACGCCGGAGAAGAGGGCUCCAGCCUUCAGGGAAGGAUGGAGUCAAUGGCAAGUAUUGCUCCAAGUGCCAGGUCAACUACAGUGAUGGGACUUGAAGAUCAUGCCAAGUUGCCAACAACUUUUCCUCGCCGUCGACGGCCACCGAGCACAAGGAGGGAGACGCGCUGAACUCUCCUCCUCCCUACCGGCACUCCCACCGCCCGCCGCCAUCUCUGCCUGGCUCCCCCUUCACGGUGGCUGCACCGUUCGUUUCCUUCCCCAGAGGCCAUGGCCUCUCACAGAACUGCCUCCUCUGUGGAUGAUGAUUUGGACUAUGCCAAUUAUCAGGACGAGAAGAUAGCUUGCUAUUGUCAAGAUGAUUGGGGCUUUGCUAGGCACAAGUGCGAGAUCUUGUUGGAAUUUGCCCAUCUGGUAUGAGCUUAGUGAUAGAUUGGUGAAUCAUUGUAUGCAUUGCCUGGUGUUUAACAGAACAUUGCACAAGUCACUCUUAAAAGAGGAUGUUAUGUUAACCAAGCAAUUGUCACAUGUGAAUCGAAUUUUCUGACGAGUGGUUAGUGAUUUCUUGAUAUGUAGAUAUGGGGUGCUAGAAAAGGAUGACUGCUCCUUAAAUAUAUUGCUCAUCUUUUGAA
rnacentral:rRNA from 1 species